rfam:&apos;Deinococcus soli&apos; Cha et al. 2014 strain N5, complete genome.
GCGGGGGAAUGUUCGGCCGCGCCUGGGCGUGAGUUCAGGUGAGGAAAGUCCGGGCACCGCAGGGCAGGAUGCCAGCUAACGGCUGGUCGGCGAGUCAAGCGCCCACCGUGCGCGCCUGCGCGUGGGUGGCGGCGAAGCCGAAGGACAGUGCCACAGAAACCAGACCGCCACCUGCUGACGUUUCAGUACGCGGAGCCCCGGCGCGGGCGGGCAGGUGGUCAGGGUGAAACGGUGCGGUAAGAGCGCACCAGGCCCCCGGGAGACCGGGAGCGCUGGUAAACCCCAUCCGGUGCAAGACCCGACAGUGCGCGAGGGCGGCCCGCCCGUUGACCGCCAGGAUGGUCGCUUGAGGCGCGUGGCGACACGCGUCCCAGAGAGAUGGCCGAACAGUCACGCGAGUGGCGGACAGAACCCGGCUUACAGUUCCCCCGCACCA